rnacentral:lncRNA from 1 species
AUUUAACACUGAGAAGUGGGCAGUCACAGAGAAAAAGUUUAGAAUAGUUCACCAGUGAAGUCAUCUCAACCAGCACAGGGCCUUGACUCCUAACAACAAUCACACGAACUUGGAAGAGGAGCCUUCCCCAACUGAACCUUCGCUUGAGACCUCGUCCUUGGCCAUCCUCUACAUCUGGAUUCAUGAUACAGAGAAACUUGAGUAAUGAUGACACUAGCAGUCCAGCCUGCAUGGAUGCUGACAUGGAUGCUGUCUCCCAUUCUUACCACUGGAUGGGAAGAAAUGCUAGAUGCAAUCCAGCCAGUCUGUACUCGACUGUCAGUUCCAUCUUCUCAACUCACAGUGUCUUCCAAAGUCCGUGCCACACCACAGCCUGGAACAUCUCCCAAGGUUUCAAAUAAUUCAUCAGUGAAUUCUUCUCAACCUGGUCAAUCAUGUGAACUUAGAAGAUGAUUCCUCCCCAGCUGAUCCUCAGGUGAGACAUCAGCCUUGGCCAUCAUCUACAUCUGGAUUCCUGACCCAGAGAAACUGGAACACUAAGACCCAUUCUUCUUCUCAAGUAUCCAAAAAUAAAGUUGAUCCAAGUAAGAAGUGGACAGCAUAAAAGAUUGUAUGGAAGCUAUAAUGCAUCUACAUCUGCAGUAACUAAUCAUAAAAUGAUUUGUAUGAUCAUUCUUCACAUGAUUAGAAUUACUAUGGGAAAGAAGAAAAAGAAAUGCCUCUCUGGAUGGUGACUAUAACCUAUAGCCUUGCCCAAUAUGACUCAGGAUUUGGUACUGGCUGUGCCUUUCAUGGGAUGCUUACUUAUCCUGGUCGAUGGCCUAAAGCCCAACCGUCCAGCUUAUAUCCAGGGAUAAACUCAGCCUGCGGGGCCUCAGGAAGAAGGUCGUAGCCAUUUCAUUGAGUCCAGGGCAGAAAAGUGGAAGAAAAAUGUGAAUGUGUUAAUUUGAGGACUUUAGCUCUGAGAGGUUUCAGGAUUCAGUCCAAAAUGCAGAAAACAAUAAAAAGCUCAAAAACAAUGGACAAGACUAGAAUCUAACAACAGGGUCUCAAGCCACCCAGGCUGGAGUGCAGUGGCACAAUUAUGGCUCACUGUAGCCUCACCUUCCUGGGAUCAAGCAAUCUUCUUUCUUCAGCCUCCAGAGGAGCUGGGACCACAGAUCCUUUGGCAUUUGAGAGUUGCUUUGUGUAUACGGUCCUUUAACGGAGCAAAUGGCCAGCCAGGAAACCAAAGUAUGGACAAGGGGAAAGAAGCGUCUGUGGAGGAAGUUUUACAAGCGCCCUCCUCAUCCAUUUGGGUGGUGUUGCCCAUAUGCUACAUGUCUGUGGACCACUAUGUGUGUUUAAAGCUUUUUAGUAAAACGUUACUAAAAACUAUGACUCACUGUGGUGAAAAAGGUGGCAAAACAGUGACAACACAACACGGAGAUGCAUUGACACCCUUCUUCAAUCCAGAGGAUGGGCCAUCAACUCACAAAAGUACAAGGCCUGGAACCAGCUGCAAAGUUCCUAUGGAUCACUUGGCCAGAAACAGGUUCUAACUAUGUUGCCCAAGCUGGUCCUGAACCGCUAGCCUCAAAUAAUCCUCCUGCCUGAACCUACCAAAGCAUUGGUAUUACAAGUUUGACCCACCGUGAUCUGUCCAGAGUGGGAAAUAGAAUCUUAACAACUAUCACAUGAACUUUGAGGGUAUCCUUCUCCAGAUGAGCCUUCAGUUGAGACCUCAGCCUUGGACAUCAUCUGCACCUGGAUUCCUGACCCAGAGCAACUGCAUGCAUAUGUUAUCCCAGCUUCUGGGGAGGCUGACUUGGGAGGAUUGCUUGAGCCCAGGAGUUCCAAACUGAAGUGAGCCAUGAUUGUGUCACUGCACUCCAGCUUGGGAAACAGAGGGAGACCAAGACUCAAAAAAAAAAACUGGCCUCAGAAGGAAUUUUAUGGAACCUUGUAUUCUGUUGAAUACCAGAAUUAUAUCAGCAAUCCCAAAGUCACCAAAUGGGCAUCAUCAUGACAGCAGACUUCAUCAUGAAUUCAUGGCAUCACACAGUCCCCUGAUGCUAUAACAUCAUGGAUUUCUUUUGUCCAGUGAGAGGCCCAAAAGCUGCAGCAUAGACAAUAUCAUAGUGUAGAAGGUUCACUAGACCGUGAUCAUGGGCUACAUUCUCCGUACCAGCUUCAUAGCUCCAGUGAGAAAAUAAAUUCCUGCAUCCAGGAGAUGUGGAGUAAGAGAUACAGCUGCCCUUGACCAUAUUUCUUACUUCCGAGAAGAUCGUAGCAGUAAUUCAGGUUAUUGGGGAACAGGUGGUUUGGGUUACAUGAAAUCUCAUCCAGGAUACCUCAUCACAGGCUGGAGUGCAGUGUCAUGAGCUUGGCUCACUACAGCCUCCAUCUUCUGUGCUUAAGGAUCCUUCCCUCUCAACCUCCAAGGUAGCUGAGACUACAGGCAACAUUCGAAACCCAGGUGCCACUCCUUCAGGAAGGUACCAUCAAGCUCCAAGGACUCAUCCUCUUUCUCCUUCCCCACUACCUAGUCAUUAGAGCGUCAGCAUCCACUUCCUGAAAGGAAGAUGCCUGUUUUUCACAUAUCCCAGAAAGCCUCAUUUUAGGACAGCAUUUAGCAGAGUGUAUUCAGGAUCCCACUAACCUUUUCGGAAGACAUGACUUCCAGAUGAUAUAAGGCAAGAAUAAGAAAUUUCAGUGACAGGGAACAGAAAUCAUAUUUCUGCAUUCAGGAUCAUGUUUUCUUGGCUCCAUCAGGAACUGUGCAGGACUGUGCACUCUGUUGAUACUCACAUGGUGGAAUUAUAUUGCCCUUGGCCAACCCUAAAGCCAUCAAGAUAGCAGGUUUGGAAUAAUUCACUGUCGAAGUCUUCUUGAGCUGAGCAGUCAUGUGAGCUUGGAAGAUGAUCCCUCUCCAGCUGAUCCUUCAGCUCAGGCCAUCAUCUACAUCUGGAUUCCUGACCCGGAGAAACUAUGAGUAAUGUGUGCUGCUUUUGAGCCACUAAGCUACAUGAAUUAAUGAAGGAUCAUUAUUAAGUUUUUAAUGGGUCAAGAGAAAGUUACCACUGAGGUCUUCUCUACCUGGGCAACAAUUGACUCCUAACAACCACUAUAAGCUUGGAAGAUGAUCCCUCCCCAGCUGAUCCUUCAGGUCUCUACUUUUUGUAGCCUGGGGAUUUUCUACUCCCCCAACAGCCAGAUGAGGCAGAAACCCCUACAGACAUCCCUAUGUGCCUCCUGUGCAAGUGCAGUUGCCCCUUGAAGGCAGUUCUCCUGCUGCAGACCACGCCCACCAAGGGCAGAGUCACAGCCACUGCAGCUGAGCUCAGAGCCUUCUGUGGGGUCUGCAGGGGCAAGGCCAGCUGUCCCCUGGGAUAGUUUGAAGAAUGCAGUUUGUUUGUAUAAUAAAGAUGUUUCUCUACGUCAUUCAUCUUGCUAAUCAAGGACGUUUAACAGCUUCAGACUUUCCUGGUAAUAUUUGUUCUUGCCUUUUUUUGGCAAAUAUAGUUAACACUUCUAUGCAUUUUUUACCUCACAUAAACAUCAUCUAAAACCA